rnacentral:misc_RNA from 1 species
CAAAAUGAAGCGGUGCCCUCGCGGCCCGUCCUUCUCACCACUGUGUACCAAACUUUUCGUUGCCUCGGCGGGCUGGAUAAGCCCCGGCUGACCCCCCCUCUUCGGAGGGGAGCCGCCCGCCGCAGGACAAUUCAAAACCAUUCUGUUCGAUGAACGUCUGAUUAUUUCUUCGCGAAUGCGAUAAAUA